UAAACCCCACAUUCUUGUAAUUAAUUCCCUCCUCACAUCCAUCUCUGUGAAUCCCUAAUUACCUUUAAGACUCUGGUCAUGUGCCACUUCCUACAGGGAGCCUUUCUUGAUCUUCCUAACAGCAUCAAGUUUUGUUUGGUCACUCCCUCAUCAAAUUAUCAUGCCUAUAUAAUGGAGGGCCUGAGCAAUAAAGACCUUGGCCUCAGAGAAUGCCCAGAUUUUCCCUUCUAGAAACCUAGAAAAAAUAUGUGUAAUAGUAUUAAUUACAAGAAUGUGGGGUUUAUAAGGGGCAAAGAGGCAGGAAAUGAAACAUUUAAGUUCUACAAACAGCAAAUAGACCAUGGAACUGGAACAUGGAAUACAAGAUUCUAAUCUAAUACUUGGAGGCUUGAUGGGCCCAUGUCCAGCCAUGAAGGACUUAUGGUUUCUUGUUGGGUAAUGAAGACACUUGUGGUUUGCUGAGAAGCUGGAAGAACUGAUGCCUAAGGAGACAUUCAUCUAGAACUGAGUUCUCAUACAAAAGGAUUGAUGGACCCUUCCUUUGGCCCUUUGGUUCUCUUUUGCUUCUUGGUGGUGAAGGAGGCAGAACUGUUGUGAAUUCAUAUCUGGAGAAAAGAAUGCCCAGGCAACCAAUGACUUCAGAAGAUCCAUCAAAAUCAUCCGAGAUUCUGUUGGCAGCUGGAGUAAGUUACAGAGACUACCAAGAUCUUGUAGCAGUAUGAGUUAAGUCCAGUGAGGAGCCACCAUUGUAGUAAAGCCACCUGCCUGGCCCAACCCAGCAAGAGAAUGCUAAGCCACCGCUUCUUUCUAGUGAGCUCAGAAGGGCUCAGAGGCCUCCGGCAAUGGGAAACACCCACAACUCUGCUCUUCCCAAGGACCUCUUUGAUGAAAAUGAAACAUUUCCAAACAACCUUUCAUCAUAACUGGCAUUGCCAUGGGAAAUGUGAGAUAAUACCUGAUCCAACCCUUGUGAAAUCUCUCCCAAGCUACCAGCCUAAUUUCUUUUUCUUUUUUUUUAAAGAAGAGCUUUUAAGAUCUGGUGAUAUUUUCCUUGUAAUUUCAUGUAAACUGUACUUGUGGUACAGGAAGUGCUUCAGUCCAACUGUAUCUGCCAAUAAGGAUUUGCAAAAGUGUGUGAGAUGGAAAUGCAGAGAAGAUUGUUGUACAUUUUGUUGAGUUGAACCCAAGAGUCAAUUUUCUUUCCCUGAAAGAAAAAUUUGUCGGUAGCCCUUGCCUGCUGAUGUUCUUCCUGCAAGAAAACGCAGCUGAAUUUAUGAAUAUGAGAAGAUUAAAAAAAAUAACCAAUAGGGCACAUUCGAUGAAACCAGCCACAUGCAAAAGAGGCUUUAAGUCAUUUCUAGGAAUGCUUGGAAAGGGGCCUCAAAUGUGAAAAUCAUAAAAAAAAAUUAAUCCUUACAACUUGGCUGCU
rnacentral:lncRNA from 1 species